rnacentral:tRNA from 2 species
AGGGCUAUAGCUCAGUUAGGUAGAGCACCUCGUUUACAUCUGUUUUACCGAGAAGGUCUACGGUUCGAGUCCGUAUAGCCCUA